rnacentral:rRNA from 1 species
AGAGUUUGAUCAUGGCUCAGGAUGAACGCUAGCUACAGGCUUAACACAUGCAAGUCGAGGGGCAGCAUCAUCAAAGCUUGCUUUGAUGGAUGGCGACCGGCGCACGGGUGAGUAACACGUAUCCAACCUGCCGACAACACUGGGAUAGCCUUUCGAAAGAAAGAUUAAUACCGGAUGGCAUAAUUAUUCCGCAUGGGAUAAUUAUUAAAGAAUUUCGGUUGUCGAUGGGGAUGCGUUCCAUUAGGCAGUUGGCGGGGUAACGCCACCAAACUCGAUGGAUAGGGGUUCUGAGAGGAAGGUCCCCCANAUUGGAACUGAGACACGGUCCAAACUCCUACGGGAGGCA